AACGAACGCUGGCGGCAUGCCUAAUACAUGCAAGUCGAACGAGAUCUUCGGAUCUAGUGGCGCACGGGUGCGUAACGCGUGGGAAUCUGCCCUUUGGUUCGGAAUAACUUCUGGAAACGGAAGCUAAUACCGGAUGAUGACGUAAGUCCAAAGAUUUAUCGCCAGAGGAUGAGCCCGCGUAGGAUUAGCUAGUUGGUGAGGUAAAGGCUCACCAAGGCUACGAUCCUUAGCUGGUCUGAGAGGAUGAUCAGCCACACUGGGACUGAGACACGGCCCAGACUCCUACGGGAGGCAGCAGUAGGGAAUAUUGGACAAUGGGCGCAAGCCUGAUCCAGCAAUGCCGCGUGAGCGAUGAAGGCCUUAGGGUUGUAAAGCUCUUUUACCCGGGAUGAUAAUGACAGUACCGGGAGAAUAAGCCCCGGCUAACUCCGUGCCAGCCGCCGCGGUAAAAC
rnacentral:rRNA from 1 species